rnacentral:rRNA from 1 species
GACGAACGCUGGCGGCGUGCCUAAUACAUGCAAGUUGAGCGAUGAAGAUUGGUGCUUGCACCAAUUUGAAGAGCAGCGAACGGGUGAGUAACGCGUGGGGAAUCUGCCUUUGAGCGGGGGACAACAUUUGGAAACGAAUGCUAAUACCGCAUAACAACUUUAAACAUAAGUUUUAAGUUUGAAAGAUGCAAUUGCAUCACUCAAAGAUGAUCCCGCGUUGUAUUAGCUAGUUGGUGAGGUAAAGGCUCACCAAGGCGAUGAUACAUAGCCGACCUGAGAGGGGGAUAGGCCACAUUGGGACUGAGGCACGGCCCAAACUCCUACGGGAGGAAGCAGUAGGGAAGCUUAGGCAAUGGACGAAAGUCUGACCGAGCAACGCCGCGUGAGUGAAGAAGGGUGUCGGAUCGUAAAACUCUGUUGGUAGAGAAGAACGUUGGUGAGAGUGGAAAGCUCAUCAAGUGACGGUAACUACCCAGAAAGGGACGGCUAACUACGUG